GAGGAGGGACCUACAAAGACUGGAAACUAUUCUUAGCUCCGUCACUGACUCCAAGUUCAUCCCCUCUGUCUUUCAGUUUGGUUGAGAUAUAGGCUACUCUUCCCAACUCAGUCUUGAAGAGUAUCACCAACUGCCUCAUGUGUGGUGACCUUCACUGUCGUAUGCCAGUGACUCAUCUGGAGUAAUCUCAACAACGAGUUACCAAUACUUGCUCUUGAUUGAUAAACAGAAUGGGGUUUUGGAUCUUAGCAAUUCUCACAAUUCUCAUGUAUUCCACAGCAGCAAAGUUUAGUAAACAAUCAUGGGGCCUGGAAAAUGAGGCUUUAAUUGUAAGAUGUCCUAGACAAGGAAAACCUAGUUACACCGUGGAUUGGUAUUACUCACAAACAAACAAAAGUAUUCCCACUCAGGAAAGAAAUCGUGUGUUUGCCUCAGGCCAACUUCUGAAGUUUCUACCAGCUGCAGUUGCUGAUUCUGGUAUUUAUACCUGUAUUGUCAGAAGUCCCACAUUCAAUAGGACUGGAUAUGCGAAUGUCACCAUAUAUAAAAAACAAUCAGAUUGCAAUGUUCCAGAUUAUUUGAUGUAUUCAACAGUAUCUGGAUCAGAAAAAAAUUCCAAAAUUUAUUGUCCUACCAUUGACCUCUACAACUGGACAGCACCUCUUGAGUGGUUUAAGAAUUGUCAGGCUCUUCAAGGAUCAAGGUACAGGGCGCACAAGUCAUUUUUGGUCAUUGAUAAUGUGAUGACUGAGGACGCAGGUGAUUACACCUGUAAAUUUAUACACAAUGAAAAUGGAGCCAAUUAUAGUGUGACGGCGACCAGGUCCUUCACGGUCAAGGUUUGGUGUCAGAGUUUCUGCAAAUUAAAAAAGAGCUUAAUCUUUAGUAAUACUCAUUGGAUUCAAAGUCUAAUGAGAGGCUUUGUGAUGGUAUACUAUGGUGUACAUAAAUGUUGUCGAGUGGUUUUUAAUCUUUGUUUGCAAUACUUUCAACAUCAUCAAUGGCCUUGAAUGAGCAAGGCUUUUCUCUGUUUCCAGUAAUCGGAGCCCCUGCACAAAAUGAAAUAAAGGAAGUGGAAAUUGGAAAAAACGCAAACCUAACUUGCUCUGCUUGUUUUGGAAAAGGCACUCAGUUCUUGGCUGCCGUCCUGUGGCAGCUUAAUGGAACAAAAAUUACAGACUUUGGUGAACCAAGAAUUCAACAAGAGGAAGGGCAAAAUCAAAGUUUCAGCAAUGGGCUGGCUUGUCUAGACAUGGUUUUAAGAAUAGCUGACGUGAAGGAAGAGGAUUUAUUGCUGCAGUACGACUGUCUGGCCCUGAAUUUGCAUGGCUUGAGAAGGCACACCGUAAGACUAAGUAGGAAAAAUCCAAGUAAGGAGUGUUUCUGAGACUUUGAUCACCUGAACUUUCUCUAGCAAGUGUAAGCAGAAUGGAGUGUGGUUCCAAGAGAUCCAUCAAGACAAUGGGAAUGGCCUGUGCCAUAAAAUGUGCUUCUCUUCUUCGGGAUGUUGUUUGCUGUCUGAUCUUUGUAGACUGUUCCUGUUUGCUGGGAGCUUCUCUGCUGCUUAAAUUGUUCGUCCUCCCCCACUCCCUCCUAUCGUUGGUUUGUCUAGAACACUCAGCUGCUUCUUUGGUCAUCCUUGUUUUCUAACUUUAUGAACUCCCUCUGUGUCACUGUAUGUGAAAGGAAAUGCACCAACAACCGUAAACUGAACGUGUUCUUUUGUGCUCUUUUAUAACUUGCAUUACAUGUUGUAAGCAUGGUCCGUUCUAUACCUUUUUCUGGUCAUAAUGAACACUCAUUUUGUUAGCGAGGGUGGUAAAGUGAACAAAAAGGGGAAGUAUCAAACUACUGCCAUUUCAGUGAGAAAAUCCUAGGUGCUACUUUAUAAUAAGACAUUUGUUAGGCCAUUCUUGCAUUGAUAUAAAGAAAUACCUGAGACUGGGUGAUUUAUAUGAAAAGAGGUUUAAUUGGCUCACAGUUCUGCAGGCUGUAUGGGAAGCAUGGCGGCAUCUGCUUCUGGGGACACCUCAGGAGCUUUACUCAUGGCAGAAGGCAAAGCAAAGGCAGGCACUUCACACAGUAAAAGCAGGAGCGAGAGAGAGGUGCCACACUGAAACAGCCAGAUCUCAUGAGAAGUCACUCACUAUUGCAAGGACAGCAUCAAAGAGAUGGUGCUAAACCAUUCAUGAUGAACUCACCCCCAUGAUCCAAUCACCUCCCACCAGGCUCCACCUCGAAUACUGGGGAUUACCAUUCAGCAUGAGAUUUGGGCAGGAACACAGACCCAAACCAUACCACACACAUUAUCAUUGUUAAACUUUGUAAAGUAUUUAAGGUACAUGGAACACACGGGAAGUCUGGUAGCUCAGCCCAUUUCUUUAUUGCAUCUGUUAUUCACCAUGUAAUUCAGGUACCACGUAUUCCAGGGAGCCUUUCUUGGCCCUCAGUUUGCAGUAUACACACUUUCCAAGUACUCUUGUAGCAUCCUGUUUGUAUCAUAGCACUGGUCACAUUGCCUUACCUAAAUCUGUUUGACAGUCUGCUCAACACGACUGCAAGCUCCAUGAGGGCAGGGACAUCAUCUCUUCCAUCUUUGGGUCCUUAGUGCAAUACCUGGCAGCUAGCCAGUGCUCAGCUAAAUAUUUGUUGACUGAAUAAAUGAAUGCACAACCAAAUUAUUGAUACCAAAUGUUUUUUUUGUGUACAUUUCUACUUCUCUAGCUAUAAGUCUUAAUUAUACAACAAAAUACUAUUUUUAUAUUUAUGUUUGGUAAAUUCAAUAACUUUCCUCAUCAUUUGGAAAGUCAAAUUGUUUAUUGCUUCCCUACAGUUUUUUCUGAAUCUAGCAGGAUUUUAAUGAUAUCAUUAUAAUUUGACACAAUAAAAGGACAACAUGAAACUGAUGAAUCUUUAUUGGGUUAAUUUCAGACACUAUAUAAUCUUUUAAAAAUGUAACAUUCUUUUUUAUAUAUAAAUAAUUGGUGGCAUCACAAAUAGCCAAAGCAGGGUGGAGAGAGUGAUCCUUCCUGGGUGCAGGCAAGAAGGGGAUAUGUUUUCUACAGAGUUUUCAAAACAGUGAUAAAGCUGUCUACAAGUCAUUGUGCUUUUUAUCAUCACUAUGCCCAGACAAUGUGAAACAUCAGAGAUGAAGUGCUCUUCCCACAGAGGUGGACUGAUCCUUCUCCCCACUCCCUUGGUGUGUCUCUGAAUGCAAUGUUGUCUUGGAAAACAGCUUUCCAAGCAUUUCACUCCUGAGCACUUGCCAGUUUCCUCACUUGUUCUUCACAUAUCCAGGCAAAGACAUCCUGUUUGCUAUAUGAAGCAUUGUAUCCCGUAUAAAAGGAAGGAAAGAGAGAAAUAUAUUUUUACACUCAUCACUCCUCAGGGGCUGUACAAUCAUGUAGAAAUUGUUUAAUGUGCCUGUCAAAUAGCCAAAGAGUGUUAAACCCUGAGUUCCCACCCAUGUGUGUGGUAUGGUUAGGAUUCAUCCAGAUACACAGAGAGAGGCACAACAGGAGGAGAAAGGAUAGGGGUGUGGGGACAGCGGGCCCCCAAUAUGGUGUAAUCGUGGCAGGUCUCUGCCUGAAGUGCUAUGUGGGGUUUUUCUUGUUUUAAUUUUGACUUUAACCCCUGAUUUGUAAGUUUUUCAUAAAAUAAACAGAAUCAUAACUCAUGUAGAUGGCUAUAAGUGCCGUAGUGUUCUGUGGGUCUCUGGUGUCUGCCAGUGAUAAGUGUGGCACCCCAGGAAGGCUGUGGACCCCAUCAAGGUGCUAUGUGAGGGCCAUGCUUGGGGUGGUGGUGGGCCCAGUAGACCCUGCAGCCAUCCAUCCAGCCUGCCCACUCACACUGCCCUUGUGUACUCCUGCUUUGCUACGUUAUCAUUGAUCAAUGUCCCUGGUUACCUAUGUGUUUGAAUUAUCUUCGUGUUACAGGUGUUUAAUGAUUUUGCUCCUUCUAGCUUAUUUGUAUUUCACCUGUUUUUCUUUAAAUCAACAUGGUUACACUCUGUUUCAGCAACUGUAUAAAUUAAACACAAAUUAUUACUACUGCUA